GGAAGUAAAAGCGUAACAAGGUUUCCGUAGGUGAACCUGCGGAAGGAUCAUUAUCGUAUAACCGAGGUGCGAGGGCUGUCGCUGACCCGAAAGGUCGUGCACGCCCGAGUGCCCUCACACACAUCCAUCUCACCCCUAUGUGCACCACCGCGUGGGUCCCCCUUUGGCUUGUUCGGAGGGGGGCUUACGUUUUCACACAAACUUUGUAUGCAGUGUAGAAUGUAUUUUUUGUUUUUGCGAUCACGCAAUCAAUACAACUUUCAACAACGGAUCUCUUGGCUCUC
rnacentral:misc_RNA from 1 species